UUGCUGAGAGCCUGUGAAGCCAUCACUGUGGGGAAAGUGGACUUGAGCAGCUGGCGGGAGAAGAUUGCUCGGGAUGUGGCUGGGGCCACCUGGGGUAAUGGCUCUGGGGAGGAGGAGGAAGAGGAGGAUGGCCCAGCAGUCCUGGUGGAGCAGCAGACUGAUUCAGCAAUGGAGCCAACUGGCCCAACCCAAGAGCGCUACAAGGAUGGGGUGGUGACCAUCGGCUGUGUGGGUAAGGAAGUGGCAGCUUGUGCGUGGUGGCCUCCAAGGAGGUACAGAGUUUUCAUAUUCGGAGAAGAGAGAGGGCGAUCAGGUCUCAUUAGGCCCCAGGGUGUCUGAGGGGUGAUCUCUGCCAGUGGCGGUGGGCAAGGCAGAAGAGGCGUCUGCUGCAGUGGAAGGAUCAUGACAGCCUGAGUUAAAUUCCACCUCUUCUCAGCUGUGAGGUCUUGAGUAAGUGAUUUUGCUACUCUGAGUCUUAGUUACUUUGAUUUUAAAAAUAAGGACAUUGAUACCUGAGUAAAA
rnacentral:lncRNA from 10 species